GGCACAAGCGGUGGAGUAUGUGGUUUAAUUCGAUGCAACGCGAAGAACUACCUGGUCUUGACAUCCCGGAGACCCUUAGGAAACUAGGGGUGCUUCCAUCUGGAAGAAUCUGGAGACAGGUGCUGCAUGGCUGUCGUCAGCUCGUGUCGUCGAGAUGUUGGGUUAAGUCCCGCAACGAGCGCAACCCUUGCCUUUAGUUGCCAGCAGUUCGGCUGGGCACUCUAAAGGGACUGCCGGUGUUAAACCGGAGGAAGGUGGGGAUGACGUCAAGUCCUCAUGGCCUUUAUGACCAGGGCUACACACGUACUACAAUGGCCGAUACAAAGGGCAGCGACACUGCGAGGUGAAGCCAAUCCCGUAAAAUCGGUCUCAGUCCGGAUUGGAGUCUGCAACUCGACUCCAUGAAGUUGGAAUCGCUAGUAAUCGUGGAUCAGCAUGCCACGGUGAAUACGUUCCCGGGCCUU
rnacentral:rRNA from 1 species